GACCACAGGAAAGUUCUUACAUUUAUUUGUUAAAAUGCAGAUUUGUUUCCGGCUUGGUCAUUUUGUCUGAGGGAAGGAGAAGAGGAGAUGUUAACGAGACCAUUGGAUUAAUGAAGGUUAUGCUUAACAAGAAGAAAGGAACUGGCUUAAGGAUUUGAGGGGAAUCACAGAGAAGGAGAUCUUGUAGGUUCGGAGCACAAGUUGAAGGCAUGCUACUGUCCAGGCAUGACAUUGUGGUGGCGUGGAGCAAAUGAAGAGAGACAAGGAGACAUGUGCCAUGGAGGCUGUUAGGUAUUAUUUAGUCAACUCAGAGCAUCGUAGCACGCAGGCUGGUCAUGACGUGGGAUGCUGAUGUGUCCAGAGCCUGGAGGCUCUACCAGGAGACAGGCCAGUACACCAGGAGACGUGGAGGAGGCCGUAGGAGGACAACAACCCAG